AACGAACGCUGGCGGCAGGCUUAACACAUGCAAGUCGAACGCAUCGCAAGAUGAGUGGCAGACGGGUGAGUAACGCGUGGGAACAUACCCUUUUCUACGGAAUAGCUCUGGGAAACUGGAAUUAAUACCGUAUACGCCCUACGGGGGAAAGAUUUAUCGGGGAAGGAUUGGCCCGCGUCGGAUUAGCUGGUUGGUGGGGUAAAGGCCUACCAAGGCGACGAUCCAUAGCUGGUCUGAGAGGAUGAUCAGCCACAUUGGGACUGAGACACGGCCCAAACUCCUACGGGAGGCAGCAGUGGGGAAUAUUGGACAAUGGGCGCAAGCCUGAUCCAGCCAUGCCGCGUGAGUGAUGAAGGCCUUAGGGUUGUAAAGCUCUUUCACCGAUGAAGAUAAUGACGGUAGUCGGAGAAGAAGCCCCGGCUAACUUCGUGCCAGCCGCCGCCGUAA
rnacentral:rRNA from 1 species